rnacentral:rRNA from 1 species
CCUACGGGAGGCAGCAGUGGGGAAUAUUGCACAAUGGGCGAAAGCCUGAUGCAGCAACGCCGCGUGAGCGAUGCAGGCCUUCGGGUCGUAAAGCUCUGUCCUUAAGGAAGAUAAUGACGGUACUUGAGGAUGAAGCCCCGGCAAACUACGUGCCAGCAGCCGCGGUAAUACGUCGGGGGCUAGCGUUAUCCGGAAUUACUGGGCGAAAAGGGUGCGUAGGUGGUUUCUUAAGUCAGAGGUGAAAGGGUACGGCUCAACCGUAGUAAGCCUUUGAAACUGGGAAACUUGAGGGCAGGAGAGGAGAGUGGAAUUCCUAGUGUAGCGGUGAAAUGCGUAGAUAUUAGGAAGAACACCAGUUGCGAAGGCGGCUCUCUGGACUGUAACUGACACUGAGGCACGAAAGCGUGGGGAGCAAACAGGAUUAGAUACCCGUGUAGUC